CUCUCUCCUUCUCUCAUCUCUCUCGACGGGCGCCGAGGGCGAGGAGGGUCGGAGAAAACCCUAACGCGCUCUCGCGAUCGCAUUCUCCCGGCCGCGAUCGGAGGUUCUCCAAUGGCGAAAAGGGCGUCGGUGUGGACGAGGCGAGAGCUCUUGGAUCGGUGGCGAGGGAUCCAAGAAGAGCUCGAAGACGACGAUCCCUCCCCUUCGAAGCAGCGCCGCAUCGUCCACACAAAGGACGAGUGGUUUUCAGAUUCAUUUGAUUUCUUGGUUAAUUUACCUGAGGAAAACCACAUCUGGUGUGGAUGUUCUGAUUUGAUGGGACCUCUUUUGGAAACUUUCCAUAAUUACUUCAAUGAUAAAGAUGCAGACUCACCUCUUAGACUUCUGUGGAAGAGAAUUUCGCAAGAACUGGGCUUUUGCACCAAAUGUGUAUGCCAACACCAUCAAGCUCAGGAAUCUUUUGAUGUUGAAUAUCAAUCAGACAGUGUUGACCCUCUUCUUAAAGUGUUACGUGUGCUUGAUGAAGAAAGGGUUACUGAGCAUCUUAUAGAGGUUAAUGCGAGAAUCCGGGACAAAGAAUAUGCUCCAGAAUGUCACAGCGCUGAAGUUGUGUGCUUAAUGUUUGAAGUCUUAGUAUUUCCUGUUCUGCUGGAUGAUCAAUCAUUGGCUAAUGAGUUUCAGACCUUCAUUGAAGCAAUUGACGACUCUUAUGAAGUGACUCUAUCAAGCAAUCAACAGUAUUCGGGAGUCUAUGCGCUACUUUUUUUCAGGAGUGGUAAAGCUCGAGCAAUUGGGCUUCGUUUAGCUAGAUAUAUGGGGAAGCUCAAGAGAGCGAUGGAUUUGGAUUCUCUGCAACCUCUAUUAAGGAGAUACAUUGGUUUUUUAGAAUCAGACGGUCUACCAUCAAAGCUGGAGACUUUGAGGCCAAGAGUCCAACUUGAGCGUGGAAAUGUGUGGCUUGGAAUUAAGACACUCCUUGGAUUUCUUGAAGCACCAGCAUUUGAAGAUGGAAUAUUGGAGAGAUAUCCCAGUUUUCUCAAUAUUAUACUCAAUCAUGUUAGUGAUGAUACAUCUGAGUUUUCUUAUGCUGUUAGUUGCCUUAAAGCAUCAUUUGAGAUGCUUGGAUGUAAACUUUGGUUGAGAACUACUCUAUCACCAAGUGUGAUACGCAACACGUUGUUGGGUCAUUGUUUUCAUAUUCGAGAUGAGAAAAGCCAUAAAGAAAUAUUUGAUCUUUUCCUUCCAUUUUUACAGUCACUUGAAGCAUUGCAAGACGGUGAGCACGAAAAGCAAAGAAGGAACAUUAUCUAUUUUCUUCUCCAUCAAGUCUCUCAUAGUAGUAAUUUCAGUGCCCUUAUGAGGAAGAAUGCUUGUAAGAUUGCUCUUCUUAUUGUAUAUCGAGGCUACACAAUGAAUCCUCCAGCCCCACCUUCUGAGUGUGCACAUAUGUGGGGCCCAUCUUUGGUCAGCUCAUUGAUGGAUUCAUCCUUACAUUGUUCUUUACGUCAACCAGCUUUUGAUCUCAUCAAUAUAAUCAUUAUUUCUGAUGCUUCUGCCAUGAUCUCGUUUAAAUUGAAGUACCAAAAUACUUCAGAUAUUGAUGCGAGGAACUUAGCUGAUCCUUUUGACGAUGAGGAUGAGCUCCCUUUCUCUCAUGAAAUUGAGGAGAAGGAUAACUGCUGUUGGAGUGGUUUUAGCAUGCAGAACAAGGUUGCUUCUCGUGAAUGUAAGGACUGGAUAUGCAUUCCAUUAUUGUGGUUUGAUAGUAUGAUCCGAAUGGAUCUCUUGAUGCUGCCCAUAUCUUUUUCCAAGGUUGCAUUUUGGGCUUUAUCUCAUAUAUCUAUCUUAGAGUCUGGAUCUACUGCUGAAUAUUCACUUUCUUUGGAGGCCUGGUUAUCAUCUAAUGCUGCAGAAAUUUCUUCCUCGCUAGCAUGGCAAGUUCCGAACAGUUCUGAUGAUGGUGGUGAGGGAAGGGAGUCUAGAAACUCUCUCAAGGUGUCAUCCAUGUGUAACGUCUUGAUUAAAGUAUUUAAAAGGUUUGCCACCCAUUAUAUCAUGCAAAUAGAGAAAUAUGAGCUUCGAAAGCAGUGGACUUGGGAACCAAGGAUGUCAGAGAGUUUGAUACUGUUGCUUAUAGACCCUAAUGAUUGCAUAAGACAAGCUGAUAGGGGAAUCUUAGAACAUGUUUCUAAGUCUCGAGGUUUGACUUCUGGGCUUCAGUUUCUUUGCUCUAGCGCAUCUUCCUUGUCUGCCUUAUUUUUGGGUCUUAGAUAUGCUUUGAGACUGGUGCAAGCAGAUCAAUUAUUGGCAAAAUUUCAGAGUCUACAUCAUCUAUUCUUUGUUGUGCGCAAACUGUUGAAGGAUGUUGUAACUUCUCAGCAAUCACCCGUUGACAUUAAGGAGGCUUCACAACCUGUAAAAUCUCUUUCUGAGGGGGGCUUUUUGCGGCAACCUAAUUCUAAUUAUGUGCCAGUUAGGCAGCCUGAGAGUUCGGCAAAUAUCGUGGACUUCAAUUCUUGGGAGAAGUUUAGUUACUUGCUAUCGGCAAUUACAUUGCCUUUCCUCUUGAAAUGCCUAAAGGAUGGGAUGGAUCUCGCAAAUAGCAAACAUUGCCAGAUGACAAGUGUCCGCUUGCUGGAAUUACUACCUGUGGUUUAUGAGAGGCUUGCAGUAUAUGCAUCUAAGCAAUCAGGGAAUGCGGACACCAUGUUGGUUGAUAUCCUCGACUUAAAAUGGCUUUCAGAUUUGGUGGAUUGGGGCAGAUCUUCUCUUAUCGUCAUUACCAGACAUUGGAAACAGUGCAUGUUUGCUUUGCUAGAAACUCUAAAAGGUUCUCCGAUCGGCACAGUUCCACAUAGUAUCGACUCCAUUAAAGCAAUUAUAUCAAAUGAUGUAGUUAUGAUUGAUGACUUGAAAGAGAGAGUUUCCAACAUUAGAAUUUCUGUGUCUAAAGAAGCUUCUGGUCGUGUUGAAUGUAGAGUAUUGACGGAAAAACGAUCAUCUUAUAAAUCUUCACUGACAAAGGGAAGUAUGACUUCAGAGAGGUCUACAUAUAGUUCCCCUUUCUUACACAAUGAACCAGCACUGCCAGCCCACAAAAUUAGGGAAGAAGGUGUAAUUCUCCUUUCGGAUGAUGAAGGAGAAGAAAAAACACCUGUAACUUUGAGUAGCAGCAGUACAAGUUUGUCGAGAGAACGGUUGGAGCCUUUUCCAUCUGGUACAUUUCUUGAGGGGGCAACUUGUGCCUCUUUUAAAGCUGAGUCAACUGAUAGCAGAAGCUCCAUUAACCCUGUAGAUAUGGGCAAAGGACUCCACAAAUCAGGUAAUGAAAGUUACACCACUGUAUCGCUCAAGAAAUUUGUUGAGCAAGGAGCCAGUUGUGCCUCUUCUAAAGCUGAGUCAACUGAUAAUGGAACCAUCAUUCCCUCCUUAGGAGGAAUAGAUACAGAUAAAGGACUACGUAAAUCAGCUAAUGAAAGCAACGCUGCUGUAUCAUUUAAGAAGACCAAGUCAUCUGAUAAAUCUAUUCAUAAUCAAUUAUCAGCCAAAACACCAUCUUCAGAAGUAGACAAGGACAGCUCCGUCAUUAAAGAGGUAAUAUGUGAGGAGAAGGAUAAUGCUGAUCCAUUAGAACAUGCACUUAAUAGCUCGUGGCGUCCACAACUGAUGCUAACAAAACCAAAGGCAUCUGCUCCUAAAAGGCAGGCCAUUCAACUUCAGUUGCCCACCAGAAACAAAUCAGGUUCCCUAGGUAAAAUGGACGCAUGUACCAGAAGAUUAAAGCCUCCUAAGCUGGACAUCUGGUAUAGAGACAUUUUAGAAAUGGAUUACUUUGCUGUUGUUGGAUUAUCUACCGAUGACGGCAACAAAAGCAAAGAUUCAACCAAUUUGAAAGAGGUGCCUUUGUUCUUUCAUUCGGAAAGUCAUUAUGUUGACAUUUUCCGGCCAUUGGUCUUGGAAGAGUUUAAAGCUCAGUUGCACAAUUCAUAUAUUGAGACUUCGUUGGAUGACAUGGCCUGUGGAAGCCUUUGUGUAAUUUCAGUUGAAAGAAUUGAUGAUUUUUUUCUUGUCCGUGGGCGGAUUGAUGACACUGAAUCUGCUGCAUCCAGAGGUUGUGUAGAAAGUGAUCUAAUCUUGCUUACUAAAGUGCCGCUGAAAAACUCUGCCCAAACUGUUCAUGUACUUGGAAAGGUAGAGCGACGUGAGAAAAGUGAUAAAAAUCGAUCACUAAUUCUCAUAAUUAGGUUCUAUCUCUCAAAUGACUCCCCACGUUUAAAUAAAAUGAGAAGGCUUCUUACUGAACGAAGUAAAUGGUUUAUGAGUCGCGUUAUGAGCUUAACCCCAAAUCUUCGAGAAUUCCAGGCUCUCUCAUCGUUGCAUGAUAUCCCAAUGCUUCCUGUUAUUUUGAAUCCUGUUAAUUCUUCCUCUGGCUAUCCUGAAUCAAGAAAAGUCCAACUGGGUAAACUUUCUCAGCCUAUGCAAAAAGUGCUGAUGUCUUCAUUUAAUGAUAGUCAGCUCCAAGCUAUCAGCAUUGCCAUUGGAACGCUGGAAUCUUCAAAGGGCUUUGAACUGUCUCUCAUUCAGGGCCCUCCAGGGACUGGUAAAACCAGAACUAUAGUUGCCAUUGUAAGUGCAUUGCUUGCAUUACCUUCCGUGCAGAGAAAACACACUUCCAAAUUUCUGAGCAGUGAUCCAAAACCUAGUAAUGUUGGAUCCACCAAUAUGAGAGCAAAGAUUAGUCAAUCAGCUGCAAUAGCAAGAGCUUGGCAGGAUGCUGCAUUUGCUAAACAAAUGGUUAGGGAUUCGGAGAAAGAUUUCGUUGGACCAAUAGACCGCCUUUCUAAAGGAAGGGUUCUAGUCUGUGCCCAAUCAAAUGCUGCAGUUGAUGAAUUGGUAUCCAGACUCCGCGAGGGUCUUUAUGGGAAUGAUGGGAAAUCUUAUAAACCUUAUAUUGUAAGAGUUGGCAAUGCAAAAACAGUUCAUCCUAGUUCCUUACCCUUUUUUAUCGAUACACUUGUCGAACAGCGGUUGGCGGAAGAGGUGGAGAACAGUAAAGAACCGAACAAGGACACAGAUGUUGAAUCAUCUAGUUCGCUUAGGGCUAAGUUGGAAAAAGUCGUAGAUAGCAUAAGGUCUUAUGAAGCUAAGCGUGCUAAACUAAAGGACAGUGAUGCGAGUGGCAAUGUUUCUUUAGAUGACAGGCCACACAAGGAAGAUGACAUGAGUGAACUUUCUGAUGAAGCAAUAAGGGUGAAGCUCAAUAUUUUGUAUGGGCAAAAGAAGGCACUUUGCGGGGAGCUUGCUGUUGCUCAGGCUCGAGAAAAGAAAUUGGCCGAGGAAAACAAAUCUCUCAAGUAUAAAGUUCGAAAAUCUAUACUAAAGGAAGCAGAAAUCGUAGUAACAACACUCAGUGGAUGUGGAGGUGACUUAUAUGGAGUUUGCUCUGAAUCAGCUUCGGACAACAGAUUCGGAAAUUUUUCUGAGCAAACCUUGUUUGAUGUUGUUGUAAUUGAUGAAGCAGCUCAGGCUCUUGAACCUGCUACUUUGAUUCCACUUCAACUUCUCAAGUCAAAUGGAACGAGAUGCAUAAUGGUUGGCGACCCAAAACAGCUUCCUGCUACUGUACUUUCUAAUGUGGCUAGUAAGUUUCUCUACGAGUGCAGCAUGUUUGAGCGAUUACAAAAAGCGGGGCACCCGGUGAUAAUGCUCACUGAGCAGUACCGUAUGCACCCUGAAAUAUGCAGAUUUCCAUCGAUGCAUUUUUAUGAGAACAAAUUACUAAACGGUGCUCAGAUGGUUAGUAAAUCAGCUCCAUUUCACGAACAUUGUCUCCUUGGUCCAUACAUGUUCUUCGACAUAGUUGAUGGUCAUGAAUGUUAUGGGAAGAAUGCUGGUUUUCAGUCUCUCUUUAAUGAGUGUGAAGCUGAUGCAGCUGUUGAGAUACUGAAGUUCCUAAAGAAGAGAUACCCAUUGGAAUUCACCAAUAAGAGAAUUGGGAUAGUAACUCCCUAUAGGAGUCAACUCUCGCUGUUACGUUCACGAUUCUCCAAUCUUUUCGGGCCAGAAGUUCUUUCUGAGAUGGAGCUAAACACUGUCGAUGGUUUCCAAGGCCGUGAGGUUGACAUAUUGGUAGUGUCGACUGUUAGGGCUUCAGAUUCAAGUACAAAACAAUGUGCCUCGAACUCAGCUAGCAUUGGUUUCGUGGCGGAUGUGAGGCGCAUGAAUGUAGCACUAACACGGGCUAAGUUCUCUUUGUGGAUAGUUGGUAAUGCUAGAACAUUGCAAACAAAUUUACACUGGGCCGCUUUGAUAAAGAAUGCUAAAGAAAGGAAGCUGUUUGUAUCAGUUUCAAGGCCAUAUAGCUCAAUCUUCAAAAAAGAUACUUUGGAUUCACAUUCAAGUCAACCGAUGAGGAGUGAAAGAGGAGGCCACAGAGGAAAGGUCAAACACACAGACAAAAACCUAGACAAAAGUACAAGAAGGCUUUUACGGGAUAGUAGUUUAAAUAAUCUUCAAGAAAUUUGCAAAAAAGAUGAGUCUUCUAAGGUGGUGGUAGGAAGGCCUCAUGAAAACAAAAAGCCCAGGGUGCAGGAUGAAAAAUCAGCAAUUUCUGAGGGUAAAUUCAAAAGGGAGUCUGUCUCCAAGUGUGUUGGAGACGAGAUCAAUGUUGAUUCGCCAGUGUCAAAAGAUUCCAAUAUGAAAUCUUUGGUAAAGAAGGCUAAGAGAGCAAGUAAAUCUUCUGAACGCUCAAAAUCAAGUAGCAAGUGGAGUCAAGGGGAUUCUUCUUCAGCUUUGUCAUGCUCGACAAAAGGAAAUAACCAAAAAGGGGAGGUGGUGAAGAGUAAAACUACUGUCUUAGGAGAACAAGAUCAUCUGAUCGCAGCAAGGAAGCGACAACGUGAGGCCGUGGAUUCUUUAUUAUCCUCUGCACUUAUAUCUUCCAAGAAGCCUCCAUCAAAACAGUCUUCCUUCAAGAAGCAAUCUUGAGUUAUGCUUCGAGAAGCAAAGUAGGAUUUCAAGGCAGCGGCAUCAGGGAGCAUCAUUUCCUAUUAUCAAACUGUUGAAUGAGGUUACUUCUAAACUACACAGAUAUCUUAGGCAACAAGGACAACUUAGAGAUUCAAGUAUUCACUGGAAAACCGAUGGCAACAAAACCAAUCAUAAGACUACUGACAGUUUACAGAGGUACAUAUAUGUCUCUUGCAUCAUUACUCUGCCGAUAAUUUUCUUUAUCAAUUCCGUUGGCAGGUUAGAUGAUGAGGGCCAUAUUGAAUACUGUCGAUUUCUAUUCGAUUUGGAAAAGAAAAGUUUUACAUUGAUUACAGAAUAUUUCUGUUCAAGAUAAAGAUGCUUAAGACCGCAAUUAACGCAGUCGAUCUUCGUUGGAUGGCUUCUUGUUAAGUAUUUUUUGUUAGAAAAUGUGCUGCAUUUUCUUUUCUUCUUUUUUUGUUUUUAAGUUGAGGUGUAGUUUGUUCUGGGUAUCGGUUGCUGCUUGACUGCUUCUGCUUCUGCUGCUGCUGCGGCUGCUGCCGCUGCUGCUGCUGUGUCAGGUAUGAGAAAAUUAAUUUUAGUUUUUAUUUUUAAAUAAAAUUACAUGCCUUUCUCUACUAUCUAGAAGCAU